rnacentral:rRNA from 1 species
GCUUAACACAUGCAAGUCGAGGGGCAGCACAGGUAGCAAUACCGGGUGGCGACCGGCGCACGGGUGAGUAACGCGUAUGCAACUUACCUAUCAGAGGGGGAUAACCCGGCGAAAGUCGGACUAAUACCGCAUGAAGCAGGGGCCCCGCAUGGGGAUAUUUGCUAAAGAUUCAUCGCUGAUAGAUAGGCAUGCGUUCCAUUAGGCAGUUGGCGGGGUAACGGCCCACCAAACCGACGAUGGAUAGGGGUUCUGAGAGGAAGGUCCCCCACAUUGGUACUGAGACACGGACCAAACUCCUACGGGAGGCAGCAGUGAGGAAUAUUGGUCAAUGGCCGAGAGGCUGAACCAGCCAAGUCGCGUGAGGGAUGAAGGUUCUAUGGAUCGUAAACCUCUUUUAUAAGGGAAUAAAGUGCGGGACGUGUCCCGUUUUGUAUGUACCUUAUGAAUAAGGAUCGGCUAACUCCGUGCCAGCAGCCGCGGUAAUACGGAGGAUCCGAGCGUUAUCCGGAUUUAUUGGGUUUAAAGGGUGCGUAGGCGGCCUUUUAAGUCAGCGGUGAAAGUCUGUGGCUCAACCAUAGAAUUGCCGUUGAAACUGGGGGGCUUGAGUAUGUUUGAGGCAGGCGGAAUGCGUGGUGUAGCGGUGAAAUGCAUAGAUAUCACGCAGAACCCCGAUUGCGAAGGCAGCCUGCCAAGCCAUUACUGACGCUGAUGCACGAAAGCGUGGGGAUCAAACAGGAUUAGAUACCCUGGUAGUCCACGCAGUAAACGAUGAUCACUAGCUGUUUGCGAUACACUGUAAGCGGCACAGCGAAAGCGUUAAGUGAUCCACCUGGGGAGUACGCCGGCAACGGUGAAACUCAAAGGAAUUGACGGGGGCCCGCACAAGCGGAGGAACAUGUGGUUUAAUUCGAUGAUACGCGAGGAACCUUACCCGGGUUUGAACGCAUUCGGACCGAGGUGGAAACACCUUUUCUAGCAAUAGCCGUUUGCGAGGUGCUGCAUGGUUGUCGUCAGCUCGUGCCGUGAGGUGUCGGCUUAAGUGCCAUAACGAGCGCAACCCUUGCCACUAGUUACUAACAGGUGAUGCUGAGGACUCUGGUGGGACUGCCAGCGUAAGCUGCGAGGAAGGCGGGGAUGACGUCAAAUCAGCACGGCCCUUACAUCCGGGGCGACACACGUGUUACAAUGGCGUGGACAAAGGGAGGCCACCUGGCGACAGGGAGCGAAUCUCCAAACCACGUCUCAGUUCGGAUCGGAGUCUGCAACCCGACUCCGUGAAGCUGGAUUCGCUAGUAAUCGCGCAUCAGCCAUGGCGCGGUGAAUACGUUCCCGGGCCUUGUACACACCGCCCGUCAAGCCAUGGGAGCCGGGGGUACCUGAAGUCCGUAACCGAAAGGAUCGGCCUAGGGUAAAACUGGUGACUGGGGCUAA